UCUGUGAAGGGCCAGAUAGUAAAUAUUUUAGGCUUUGCAGCCUACACAGGGUCCUGUCUCAUAGCCUUCUUUGUUUGCUGUCUUGCGACUUUUAAAAAAUUUAAAACCAUUCUUAGCUUGCCAUGUGUGGAGUUGGGGGUGUGCAAAAACAGGCCACCAGGCCAAUAAUUUGCUGACCCCUUAGGGUCACAGUACAGGAAAAACAAGGCAAAGAGUUCCUUGCAGCCAUCCUCUCUGUGGCAUAGAGGAAGCCAGCAUGAGUGCACCAGUGUGCACGCACACAUACACAUGCGAAAACAGUAGAGAGAUUCCUAGAAGCUUUGGGUCUCUUGUUAGAUUUCCCAACACCCUGGUUUUCAACUCUCCCUUUCGCCUGUGAGCUACCCAGCAUUCCUCCCAGUGGUUAAGCCAACCUGAGCUGGUUUGAGUUGGGUUUCUAUUACCUGCAAAUACCAACUCCCUGGCUGAUGUGUCUUUCUACUCCCGGAACCACAGCCAGCCCCUCCCCUUAUUCCUGUGGUCUCAGAGGAAUUCCCAUGAAGUCCACGACUGCACAGCUCUUGACCCAAGGUUCUGAUGAAGACCACAUCUUUCAUGCAGUGGACGUACACAUUUUUUUUCAAGGAUAGAAAAUUGGAAAAAGAAAAUUCUCAAACAUGAGUGAGAGUUUUCUUUCCACACAUUUUCAGAAUAUAGCUCACAGUCAAGGCAGCGCUGCUCUUUCUAAACAGGGUCUCCGUGGCAUCACAGAUGGUGGGCAGAGAUCUCUAUCUGGGAACUCGGGCUUCAGGAACAAUAGUUGCCUCUGCUUCUAAUUUGGUGGGACCUGAUGAAGAGUUGUUGCAAGAAUGCAUUGUGGGUCAUGUUCAAAAUCAGCCCUUGCAAAUAGCCUGGUGUCCCCUGUGUGCAGAUUUAAGAAAGAGGCAUUUAAUAGGCAGGACCUGUUAACAUUCACUGAAGGCCAAGGCCAAGUUGCCACUUGGACCAGCUCUGUCAGCAUAGUGACUGACCUCCAGAAAAAGGUGAGAAGGGAGCAUAUUCCCAUUGUGUGUCUGGCAGGAACACUUUUCUCCUUAAAAGAAAUAUUUUGGAGGGGGAGUUUUGAAAAAGCCACCAGAAAGCCUCAUCCUUGAGUCAACUGGGAAAGUGGGUUGUUUUGAAAUAAUUCUCCACCAUUUUCAGAAAGAGGAAAGCAAAAUGGCUAUGAAAUGGGAGUUAAACAUGGCGAUAGUUAACCUCAGCGUCAAAUACUCUGUCCCAUUGUUUCGAUUAGGUCAAUUUGUAUUUGAUUUGACCACCUGUCUCGAUUUGGGUGGUAGAAGACUGGUCACUACAAGGAGGAUGUCCUUCUGGAUAAAGCAAAGUGGCUGGAUUGACCCUUUCAGGGAGGCAGGAGGUAUUGAUUACUAGACUUCAGGGGCUCUGCAUGUGGGAACCUCCUGGGAUCCUGAGAAAAUGCAGAUUCUGAUUCAUUGGUUCUGGGUUUGGGGUCUGAGAGACUGAAUUUACAGUAAGCUCCCAGGUGAGGAAGAUAAGGCUAAUCCAUGGAUGCACUAUGAGUGGCCAGGGACUAGAGGACAAAGUGCCUUAGUGCUGGUGACAUUUGGCCACUAAUAAUUGUCCAUAAUAACUGCUAACAUGCAUUGAGCACUGUUGCAACACUAGUAAAGAAUGUUGCUAGAAACUCUCUAAACCCCAGGCUCUUUCCCCUGCCCCACCCCGGCUCACUGCACAGCACAACACAAGGUCCUGACUGCUAGCAGCCCAACUUGCAGGGAGCCCAGGUGCAACCCUUGGCAUAUUUGCCAGGCAGAGUAUUCUGGAUGGAGGCUUGGCCUUUUCAGUGAAAAGCAGUCCAGGAUUUAAAAGAAGUACAUCUGGCAUUUCCAGACACUGUAAUGUACAGGCUCGUCUUUCUGUUCAGCCAAUCUAACUGUUUGUGCAGAAGCAGACCACCAGGGCAAAUGAAAAUAGGAAAACCUCUAUGUGAUUGAAAACUGGUUGAUUUCAUAUGAAAUACAUAGCAAGAUGAACUGCUCCUCCAGGGCAAAUUCGGGCUGUUGCUCCAUAGAUCACUGCAGCCCUCGGUGUCUUCUGAGAGCCCUAGAAGACAGAUCCCCAGGACACAGUCCUGACUCCUGCCUUUGCCCCACCCCCCACCCCCCACUGCCAGUUAGUAAAAUAUGUGCCUGCGAUGAGCAAAUCCUUCAGAGAGGAACUGUCUAUUUCAAGCGAUUUUUGUCUCUGCAAAGGAGCCCAGAUUCUAGAAACUUUUGUGAGGUAGGUUUAUCGUCUCUGUCUUUGUGCUGAUUGGAUGUGGGUGGCUUUGGACCUGGACAAUUGGGAAGUAACACAAUUGGCUUUUCAGAUAUGUCCACCCCUGGAAAGCUUCACAAAGAGGUGGCAUUUUUUUUCCCCCUCUCUCUCUCUUUUUUUUUUCCUCUCUCUGUUUUUUUUUUUUUUUUUUCUUCCUCUUUGGCUUCCUUUCUGAACCAUUUUUGUUGUAAGGCUUCAGGCAGAAGCAGCUCUGGGUGAAACUGGGACACGGGGAAAUUUCUCUCUGACGUUUUCCCACCUCUUCCAUCUGGAUCCUUCUUCCUGUCCCCCCCACCAACCUCCUCCACUUCCAAUCCUGCAUUACUUCCAUGGGUGCGGGUUCCAGGAGAAAAGGGACGAUGAAUUAGAGGCACCAGCAAGGAAGGUCACUUGCAAGUUACCAAGACAAGAUCCUGAAGAGUGGCAUCUGACCCAGAGAGUUGGAGUACUGCUAACCAGACUCUCUCAGCACCCUGUGCCAGACCGGCAGCACGUCACACAAGUGACAGUGAAAGAAGUGACAUAGUCUCUGCUACUGCCCACAGUACGACUGGCCAGAGGUCGCUGUCCCUCACCUCACUGCCGCAGAAGCCCUUGCACAGCCCGUGGAGCCCCCUUUUCCUCUACCUCCCGCUUCCUUACAAACUCUUUCUAUAUUUCCAACUUGUCAUCAAUGUCUUCUCCUUUCCACCCGGAACAUUUCUUUUGAAAUAAAAGGGGAGAAAUAUCCCUUCAAAGACUACUUUCAGAUUUCACAACUAUGCUGUCUUGGGCUGUUAGGUUGUUGUUUUUUUUUUUGUCUGUGUGUUUCCUUCUUAUUAGAGUUAUUAUCAUUUGCUCUUUGUUAUCCAGCCCUCAUUAUGCCCUGUAACUUACAGAACCGGUCUAGCUGGGGUUGGCCUGACAUCAGCCUGAGGAGCUCUGACCACACCUCUCUUGCUUUUGCCAGGAGGGAAAUUUGCUCCAUCCAGGUGCCAGAUGAGAGGAAGAUAUUAAAAAAAAAAAAAAAAAAAGAAGGCAAUCUUUGGUUUCCUCUGAGGCUUAGGGAUUUUAACAUCCAGAGUUCAGAGGUCAUCCUCAAAAUGUCCAGGCAGUUUUCCAUGCCAUGAGGCUCUGUGGUUCCCCAGGUCAAUGACUGCUUGAGGUUUGCCCACAGGCCCACUAGGCAUCCUGGAAGUUUCAUCCUGUAUAGAACAUGAACCCUUGUGGGGGACCCAGUGUGAACCAUUCAACAUAAAGUACACAGUGAGGUUCUGAUGUUACAAUCUCUGUACCUGUUUUUUCUUAGAGAUUUUUACCCUGAUCCUCCAUCUUCUGCCAGUUAGCUUAUAUGUUCACUCAGAUAGCAAUUCAUUUGAAAUUGGUUAUUUCCUUAAUUCUGGGAGUUUCUACAUUAAUUGCAAAAAAAUUCUCAAUCUUUCUGUCUCCGAGCUUCUACUUGCUCUAAAUUUUGCCACAUAUGAAAGAUUCGGAUACUUCCUCCUUCAUUGGCCAGCAGAGAGCAACUGAUCAGGUUGAAAACCUGAAAAGAAUUCCCCUACUGCUCAAAAAUUAUAGAUCUGUGAUAAAUUCUGAGUCAUAACAUCAAUCAUUUUCCUGGGCUGCAGCUCUCUGAGAAUUUUACCGUUUUAACUGGACUCAUUCUCAGAGAGGCACGCACAACCUCCCAGUCUUCAAAACUCUGGCUUCAGAUUAAUAACAGUCCAACUGAUGAGACAACGUGAUGGAAUGUCCCUCUUUUUGUGGAGAAAAAAAACUCUCAUCACUGACAGUAACUUAUAUAAGUCUCUUUCGUACUAAUUAAAGAGCCUGCCUAGUAGACUUUGGAACCUAAUUCAAUAUAUCUCUCUUUAUUUUUUUUCUCAUGUUAUAAAUGUACUUUAAGUUUAUUAUAGGACAUUUAGAAAAAUGAAUUAAUAAAAAAUUAAUAAAAUCAAUCAAAACUACCUGUCA